AGGACGAACGCUGGCGGCGUGCUUAACACAUGCAAGUCGAGCGGAAAGGCCCUUCGGGGUACUCGAGCGGCGAACGGGUGAGUAACACGUGAGCAACCUGCCCUUAGCUCCGGGAUAGCUCCGGGAAACCGGAAUUAAUACCGGAUAUGACCUAGGCCGACAUCGGCUGUGGUGGAAAGUUUUUCGGCUGGGGAUGGACUCGCGGCCUAUCAGCUUGUUGGUGGGGUAAUGGCCUACCAAGGCGACGACGGGUAGCCGGCCUGAGAGGGCGACCGGCCACACUGGGACUGAGACACGGCCCAGACUCCUACGGGAGGCAGCAGUGGGAAUCUUGCGCAAUGGGCGAAAGCCUGACGCAGCGACGCCGCGUGGGGGAUGAAGGCCUUCGGGUUGUAAACCCCUUUCAGCAGGGACGAAGCGAAAGUGACGGUACCUGCAGAAGAAGCGCCGGCUACUACGCGCCAGCAGCCGC
rnacentral:rRNA from 1 species